GGGCCCGCACAAGCGGUGGAUGAUGUGGUUUAAUUCGAUGCAACGCGAAAAACCUUACCUACCCUUGACAUGUACGGAACUUGCCAGAGAUGGCUUGGUGCUCGAAAGAGAGCCGUAACACAGGUGCUGCAUGGCUGUCGUCAGCUCGUGUCGUGAGAUGUUGGGUUAAGUCCCGCAACGAGCGCAACCCUUGUCAUUAGUUGCUACAUUUAGUUGGGCACUCUAAUGAGACUGCCGGUGACAAACCGGAGGAAGGUGGGGAUGACGUCAAGUCCUCAUGGCCCUUAUGGGUAGGCUACACACGUCAUACAAUGGCUGGUACAAAGGGUUGCCAACCCGCGAGGGGAGCUAA
rnacentral:rRNA from 1 species